UACGUAGGGUGCGAGCGUUAAUCGGAAUUACUGGGCGUAAAGCGUGCGCAGGCGGUUUUGCAAGCCGGAUGUGAAAUCCCCGGGCUUAACCUGGGAAUGGCAUUUGGGACUGCAAGGCUCGAGUGCGGCAGAGGAGACUGGAAUUCCCGGUGUAGCAGUGAAAUGCGUAGAUAUCGGGAGGAAUACCGAUGGCGAAGGCAGGUCUCUGGGCUGACACUGACGCUGAGACGCGAAAGCGUGGGGAGCAAACAGG
rnacentral:rRNA from 1 species